UGCAGGAGAAGAUGAACAAAGCAUCAGGGAACAUCUCCGAGUAAUAAAGGAGGAAACAGAGAAGCUUAGACCAAACUUAGAGUUUCUUAAAGAAAGGAUGGCGCUUAUAAAAAUCUACCAGAUAAAUUUUUAUGUCUAACCACAGCACGGAGGAGAUUAUCUCUGAGUUUCCAUGUUUCAGACUGGCCAAAAUGCUCCUUUGGGGUAUGAGAGACCGUACCAACGUUGAUGUGGACCAGCAGAUUCUCUCUCAGCUCUCGGUAAUGGCACCUAAAGUCCUUCACGGAGUUUCACGGAGUCCCCUGAUGGAGAAGUUCAGGUGUGUGGUUGAUGACUGUGAAGAUGACAGACUGAAAAAAGGGCCAUGCUCAGAACUGCCCUCCUGACACACCAACAACUAAAAAGGUGCUCAAAGGCUGCAGGGAGGGUCAUCCCAUGCAAUACGACCACAUUGUCGUCAUGUUGGAUGGCCAGUCCAUUACUGAGGAGAGUGAGGACAUCUCAAUGGCACUGAGCCUCAUCCUUUGUAUAUAUUUUCUGUUUGGGAUCCAAUAUCUUAAAGGACUGAAAAAGACACUGACCUUCCUGGAGUGCAAUGUCUUAAAAAUGAAGGAUGCAGCCGGACUUCCUGUCACAAUUAAAAGAGUGUAUGACUCAAUCUGUGCAUAGAGACUCUCUCUCUCUCUCUCUCUCU